rnacentral:rRNA from 1 species
CGUUAAUCGGAAUUACUGGGCGUAAAGCGCAUGCAGGUGGUUUGUUAAGUCAGAUGUGAAAGCCCGGGGCUCAACCUCGGAAUUGCAUUUGAAACUGGCAACUAGAGUACUGUAGAGGGGGUAGAAUUUCAGGUGUAGCGGUGAAAUGCGUAGAGAUCUGAAGGAAUACCGGGUGGCGAAGGCGGCCCCCUGGACAGAUACUGACACUCAGAUGCGAAAGCGUGGGGAGCAAACAGGAUUAGAUACCCUCGGUAG